UACGUAGGGUGCAAGCGUUAUCCGGAAUUAUUGGGCGUAAAGAGCUCGUAGGCGGUUUGUCGCGUCUGCUGUGAAAACUGGAGGCUCAACCUCCAGCCUGCAGUGGGUACGGGUAGACUAGAGUGCGGUAGGGGAGAUUGGAAUUCCUGGUGUAGCGGUGGAAUGCGCAGAUAUCAGGAGGAACACCGAUGGCGAAGGCAGAUCUCUGGGCCGUAACUGACGCUGAGGAGCGAAAGCAUGGGGAGCGAACAGG
rnacentral:rRNA from 1 species